rnacentral:lncRNA from 1 species
CUCAUUCCCUCAGGAAUUUCGCCGAGGAGGAUUUGACGAACUGAUUAAUCCGGUGUGUGUACUCACCUCUUGCGUUGGCUGCAGAGGAAUGAGGCUGUCUUUUGGCUGGAGACUCAAUAGGGGAGAGUGAGGAGACAUUCCAAUCCAUGCCAGGCAAAGCAAUGAGGAAUUGGCUCCAUGAAGUCACUCCAGCCAGGCUCCAUAGCCACAAUUCUCCAGACAGGAAGUGCAUCACCAUCAGCUGAGGACCAAACCUUCUACACAUGAGAUGUUGGAGGACAUUUAAGAUCCAAGAUUAGAAGUCAUGCAAGCCUCCUUGUCUUGAAGGCUCUGGCAUAGGGAGUGCUGAUGUGAAAGCUCAAGCUCUGUGCAUUUAGCUCUAAGCUGAGGCAUCAGUUCCUACUUACCUGCAUGAAUUCCUUCAAUCUCUGGCUGGAGUGAAAUCUAGAGCUGGGGACUGAAGCAUAACUUCGGAAGCAGAGGCUGUAAAGGCCCAAGCAGAACCAUGGGAGUAGCUACUCCUUCACAUUCCUCCCAGGAAGACCAUAGGGACUUCCUGUGCCGUCUUGGAGAAGCCACAAAAGUCCAAGCACCUGAUGUCCUAUCAUAGGACCCAGAUCCACAAGGCCAGGAUGGUUUAUGCAAGAUGACAGUGCCAGAUACAGGAAAAUUUAACAGGCUCUAAGACAAGCUGACAUAACCACCCCGUGGUACAAUUCUAUCACAAGAAGAAAGAUCUUUUGGAAAUGUGUCCCUAGCCAAUGGGAAUUACUGGACUUCACUCACCCCACCAAAUAAUACAAACUUACUGCUCUCUUUGUUUUCUGAGCAGCAGCUUGGUAAUUCUCUCAACCAGUUUCUGACUCCCUUCAGCUGAAGCCCCAAUUUGGCUGAAAC